AGCACCAAGGCCAGGGAGCGCCACUGCUCACUGGUUUCUGUGCACCAACAAGCAGCUGAAGAACGUCACCAGGCCGCAACUGCGUCAAAGACCACUAAUGAGCAGCACUGAAGAGACACGGGGUACCACUCCGUGAUGGGCACAGCUCAGGAAGAGCAACCAGGAUGCUCAAGCAUAGAGGACAACCCAUGGGAGAUCAGAGGACCAUGUGAGUUCCCAAGGAUUGAAUCAAGUCAUCAGGCUUGAUGGCAAGCCCCCUUAGCCUCUGAGUCAUCUCAUCAGCCCUGGGAUUUCCCCUCAAAAAAGAAGAGGGGAAAAGUCACAAAACGGAAAUCUGAUUGUAUCUCCACAGAGAAGGAAAUCCAGAAGGCUUGGGAAAUCCCAGGCUCCCACCUCAUGCUGCCUCUGGCCAUUCAUCUGGCACAACUUCAACUCCUACAACAGAUGGGCUUGGAUUCACAUCUCCCCACAAGCUCCCCAUCCUGGCUCUUGAGCCCCAGCACCUGCCAGGUGUCCAGUUAUAUGCAAGGUCCACCAGAAGGCACCCCAGUAUGGAACCUUCUGGAUAGCCAUCCUGGUGGUGCUGCCCUGCCUGGGACCAGAAUGAAUUCCAGAAGGUUAUAGACCUGAACCUGUAACCCUGCAGUUCUGUCUUGGGCCCCAUCUCCGAUCCUAGUGUAUGAGCCAGCCCUUCUUGAGGUGGAAAGGAAAUAGCUCCCUCAAGCUGACUGCAAGGGAUCCGUUCCAAGGUCCCUAGAGACAAUUUGGCCACUUCCAGUCUCAAGACAAUGACCAAGCCUUGUGUUCCCUCCCACCCUGCCCCCAUCUAGAAAACAGACAGAGUGAUAGUAUGUGCUUCCCAGGAACACAGCUUACACCUCAGGAGAGAUCGAGACACAGGGAAGGUCGGACCUCCUGAACUAAAAGGAGGUGGGAGGCAGGGAUAUGUAAUUAGGUUUGUGUCACACACUCCCCAGCUUUUUGGCCUGUUGUCCAGGCUGACACCAGCUUCUGCAGCACCAAAUAUAAAACUCUCAGUUUCA